rnacentral:rRNA from 1 species
UGGGGAAUUUUGGACAAUGGGCGAAAGCCUGAUCCAGCAAUGCCGCGUGUGUGAAGAAGGCCUUCGGGUUGUAAAGCACUUUUGUCCGGAAAGAAAUGGCUCUGGUUAAUACCUGGGGUCGAUGACGGUACCGGAAGAAUAAGGACCGGCUAACUACGUGCCAGCAGCCGCGGUAAUACGUAGGGUCCAAGCGUUAAUCGGAAUUACUGGGCGUAAAGCGUGCGCAGGCGGUUGUGCAAGACCGAUGUGAAAUCCCCGAGCUUAACUUGGGAAUUGCAUUGGUGACUGCACGGCUAGAGUAUGUCAGAGGGGGGUAGAAUUCCACGUGUAGCAGUGAAAUGCGUAGAGAUGUGGAGGAAUACCGAUGGCGAAGGCAGCCCCCUGGGAUAACACUGACGCUCAUGCACGAAAGCGUGGGGAGCAAACAGG